UCAAGCUUCAACACGGCUGCUGUAAAUCAGAAACUCGGAACUCGGUGGACCAUGGCCUAUUUCAGAUAAACAGCUAUUGGAACUGUGAUCCCCAAAAUGGUUAACCUGCAAAGAAUGGCUGUGGGCAUCCCUGCUCAGACUAUAAAAACACUGAUUUGACUGAUGACGUGGCUUGCAUAUAAAACUCAAGAGAGAACACAAUGGAUGGGGUUUCUCGAUGGGUUACACCAACAAUUGCCAGAGUAAAACGAGUAGCUACCUAUCGGAAUGCGGCAUUCCAGGUUUAGGUUAAACAAUCAGCAUUGACUGUUUCUUGUUUGAUUGACGU